rnacentral:rRNA from 1 species
GACGUAGGGGGCCAGCGUUGUUCGGAAUUACUGGGUGUAAAGGGUUCGUAGGCGGUGCGGCAAGUUGGGAGUGAAAUCUCUGGGCUUAACCCAGAGGCUGCUUCCAAAACUGCUGUGCUUGAGUGUGGGAGAGGCGCGUGGAAUUGCAGGUGUAGCGGUGAAAUGCGUAGAUAUCUGCAGGAACACCCGUGGCGAAAGCGGCGCGCUGGACCACUACUGACGCUGAGGAACGAAAGCUAGGGGAGCAGACAGG